rnacentral:tRNA from 1 species
GAUAAGGUGGCUGAGUUUAGGCGGUAGAUUGUAAAUUUAUUAACGAGGUUACUUCCUCCUUUAUCA